rnacentral:rRNA from 1 species
GUGGGGAAUUUUGGACAAUGGGCGAAAGCCUGAUCCAGCCAUGCCGCGUGUGUGAAGAAGGUCUUCGGAUUGUAAAGCACUUUAAGUUGGGAGGAAGGGCAGUAAGUUAAUACCUUGCUGUUUUGACGUUACCGACAGAAUAAGCACCGGCUAACUUCGUGCCAGCAGCCGCGGUAAUACGAAGGGUGCAAGCGUUAAUCGGAAUUACUGGGCGUAAAGCGCGCGUAGGUGGUUUUGUAAGUUGGAGGUGAAAUCCCCGGGCUCAACCUGGGAACUGCCUCCAAAACUGCAUGACUAGAGUACGGGAGAGGGUAGUGGAAUGUCCGGUGUAGCGGUGAAAUGCGUAGAUAUAGGAAGGAACACCAGUGGCGAAGGCGACUACCUGGACUGAUACUGACACUGAGGUGCGAAAGCGUGGGGAGCAAACAGGAUUAGAAACCCCGGUAGUCC